rnacentral:rRNA from 1 species
UUGUUCGCCAAACAACUACGAGUAGUAACUUAAAACUUAAAAGACUUGACGGUGCUUCACCACAACCUAGAGGAGCCUGUCUAGUAACCGAUGACCCACGAUUAACCCCACCCCUUCUCGCCAACAGUCUAUAUACCGCCGUCGUAAGCUUACCCUGUAAAAGAACCAAAGUAAGCUAAAUAGUACACCACUAAAACGACAGGUCGAGGUGUAACCUAUGAAGGGGGAAUGAUGGGCUACACUCUCUUAACUGAGAACACGAAUUACAUUACGAACCUAAUGUAUGAAGGCGGAUUUAGCAGUAAGAUGGGGAUAAAACACCUAACUGAACAUAACGCAAUGAAGCGCGUACACACCGCCCGUCAUCCCUGCCCACAC